UAUGCAAUCUUUCUAUCUGGAUUUUAAACAGAUACUCUUAAUUCUGAGCUGAUUCGCACAUCCAUUCAAAUAGGACUGAAAUGUACCUAUCUGUAAAUUAAAGGCAACUGAUCUGUCUUUAGCAUAUGACUCAAAGGAACCUUGAAACACUCUAGUUCAUCUUAAAUCUAUCUGUUUAUCUAAUUAAUAUCUGUUUCUAACAAAAGUUUACCAGUUGAUGGGGAAGCUUUAUAGCAGAAUUUCUUUUGUCAUUUUUAUAUGUAUUAUUUUGUACCAGGUACACCAAAGGCAUUGUACCUUACCUUCUGUCUCUUUCUUUUAGCUAUGUUACUAUAGAACUUGUAACAACUUAACCUGGUGAACCUAAUGAACUUGAGAGGAUAAAUUUUAUAUCAUUCAACACUUUUUAACAGUAACAACAAAUGAAAGGAAAAUGCUUUAGCUGACCAACUGCUAUUGUAGCUUGUCCCCCACCAUCUGAAAAUAAACUUCAUGACAUGGGGAAUGUCAAUCAGAUACUUUGUGGCAUCCUUGGUGGGGCUGGGUGAGGAGAGAAGAGGGUAGGGAGGAAAGGAGCGGAAGAUAAGUAGACUCAAUUACCGACUGCAUAGUGCAGUUAAUGCACUAACUUGUCUUUGACCUUGAAAGACCUGAGUUCAGUUCUUAAUUAGAUCAGAAAUUAAGAGAAUUUGGUCUCUUGCUCAUAAGAAGUAUUUGGUACACACACACGUUGCAACAUAGUUCGCUCAAAGUCUUUUCCUACAUUCCCUACCAAAACGAACCCUUCACAAUGAAGAUCCAGAUGCAGUAUUUAUCUCCUAAUUUUUUGCUUUUUUCUUAAAGCAAACUUUUGAAACUUGGGCAAAAAGUAAGGGAUGAGAUUUUUCAAAACCAUUCUUGAGUUGACCUCGGUGUGCUCCUAUUAAAGUCGAUGGAAGUUUUACCAUUGAUAUCAACAGGAACAGAAUUAAGGCCAAAAUCCCACUCUAAAGUAAUAGUUGUUAUGAAUGAGGAUUACAGAAAUUAGUGCUCCCUUUGUUUCACAGUGACGAUAAACUAGUUUGGAGCAGGAUGAAGCAAACAUCAUUUGGGGAAGUAAAAUGCUGAAUAGUCAUAGCUGAACAAGUGUAACUGAAAUCUAGUUGACAACCAGCAAAACAUGCUGCUAUUCCACAGAUUUAAAUAUACUAGCUCGUGGAGUGUUCCCGGGAGUACAUGUACAGAAAAAAACAUUACCAAUCAUGCACAUUGUAUAAACAGAGCUUUUCAAGAUAUUUGCAGAAUAUAAGGCAAAGCCUAUGAUAUGCUAUUCUUUCCAGGGACAGAUGUUAUUGUUUGCCCCUUUUUGACCUGAGUGGUUAGUCAAAGUUUAUGGCCCUGUGGGUGAUCCAGUUGGGAGCAGAAUUUGGUGAUAGUCGGGUAUUUCUUCAAUGCAGUUUUGUUUAUUUACAAAGACUGUACAAAGUGCUGUGUCUCUGAAUGCAGAAGGGAUCAAAUAACCGGAAACAGCUUCUUUUGUUCACCAAGAGCAGCCUUUUCACCCUGCACCCCGGCCCAAAAAAAAAGUCUCCAGGUUUUUUCCAGGGUCCAGCCACAGGCUUUCAGCUGCUUCUUCAGUCUGUCUCAGUCUAUUCUCAGUUUGUGUGUGUUAUCUCCUGCCAACGCGCACACAGUCACAAUACCCGGUCGAACCAUCUGCCCACUUGGUGCUAGUUUCUGAGCAGACUAUUAGGCUCUGCUUCAAGGGUGGCCCCUUAACUGUCUCUUACAAUUGACUUAAAGGGGGGACUCAUUCAGAGAUCAGUUUAGAGGUAUAAACUGAACCCAUAACAAAGUUUCACUUAACUGAUAACAUUAUCCUAACAAGCCACUGGGAAUUGAACUGGUUACACGAAGAGUCAUUAAACAGCACUGAAAUACAAGCUGGUAUUUCUUUGAAGCUACAGGAAAUGCAUUUCUCAUUCUUCCUAACUAGAUGUCAUGUAAUCAAGUAUUUGGCCACAUAUGCAUUCACACACUCUAAUUCGUUCUGUCAGAUACUCAGCUCUUAUCCGGUUAAGGCUUCCCAAAAUGCUAAAUGUUUUGUAAAGAUCGAUUUUUUUUGUAGUUGUCAAAUAAAAUUAACUCAAAGCAAAAUAUGUAUCAUUGGGGGCUCUAAUCUGAUAGAAAAGAUAAAUGCUCUUGCUGAGUAGUGUAUUGUUAAACCUUGAGACUUUGCUGGAAGGGACAGGAGAGAAGCACCAUAUGCUAUCUUCCCCUCCCACCUCUCGCUCUUUUGUUUGCUUGUAGGUUUCUAGUGAGGUCCAUUGGACAUUUGCCCAUCAAUAAAGCCAGAGGCUGGUUUUAAACAAACAAAGGGCAGGUGCAGCAGGGCACCAAUGAGACUUGCCCCAUCACCUGGACAAUUUCCAUCCUACCCCUCUCAUUUGCAUUGAAAGCUGGACAAAAAGUUAUAAAGGUGAACCUUGGACUUGCUUUGAUUCAUGUUGGUUGCAUGUGAAAGGAAGAGAGGAAGCAGGUAAUCUCUGUGAGGACGGAUCUCUGCCUACACGUUGAUCUUGCUGCAAAUCUAGGUCACUGAUCUGUAUGAGCAGCAGUAUAUUUCUUGGCUUGGGCAGCAACUGCAUUAAAGGAAUGCAAGCAGUCGUGAAGCAGAGGAGCAGAUCCGGAGCGCUGUGCGUUUAAUUUAUGAGCCACUCCACUCUAAAAGGAUGAAAACAUGGGACUUAAGUUAUCCUGCCUGAAAGGCUUUAAAUCAUGUGUGAGCAGCGGGAGCAGCCAGACGCCCAUGGUGGACAGCAAACACCUGAGAGUCCCGGCCAUUAUCAUCACACCUCCUACCCCCACGGGCACGACGCUGUCCAGAGACGCCCGGCAGCCAGGUGAAGAUCCGCUGUGCAACAACUGCUGAGCCAGAUGUGGUGAGACUAGGAGCAGCGCAGAGCGCGAGGCGAGGGCCGGAGAGCGCAUGAAAGAGCCGGCGCUGUUUCGCAGGCCCCGGGAACAGCUUGCACGGGAACCCAUCUGUGCCGUGUGUUUCCCCCUGUCCCUCCCCCUCCCUUUAACCGGGUUUAUUAAAGAUUUAUUAAUGGAUCUGCAUACACCUCACUACUGGGACUUUCACACUGUUCCGAACUCUAGCAAGCUGUGGCAUGUUAAGUAAUUAGCCAGGCAGCUCCUCUCUGGGAGCGAUGGAGCAGAUUGAUGGCUGGGGCGGGGGAGACGGCUGCACGGCUGCGUCGCAGUGAUUUGGAGGUGGCUUUUCCAGCGCAGGCCCGGACUGGAGCCUCCCCUUGGCCUUUUAAAUCACCAUAAAAGGGCUUGGCUGGGGUCGAAGCUAAAUCAGGCGGAAGGAGCGUUCUCUGCCCUGGUCACCGAGAUCCUUUCCACGGCUCCGUAAUAGACCAGGUUGUUCUCAUGGAGCCUCCAUGCCGUCAAUGAGGCAGCGGGAUAUCUGUCGCGUCCCACCCCGAUGGAAGCCGAGCAGCCCAAGUUUUGGCUGGGCUCGCCAUCCCACUGGCUGGCUGGCAGGGCGGAACCGUUUGGCUUCGAGUGCCAGAUCGCAGUGGGGAAGACGCUGAACAUUUUUAGCAGCAGGCGACUGCUGUGCUGAAACCCAUAGGCGAGGCUGGUGGCUCCCGAUCUAGGAGAGGAGCACAAGCCAGGAUGGAAGGGACAGAUCACUGCCAUCGGGUUGGAGAAGCCGGGUGCCAGCCCUCUCCUAGUGGCCGGGAAGUGAGCACUACAGUGCUUGACAUGGCAACAUCUCACCAGAGCUCCGUGUUCACGGGAAGGACCAGGAAAACCUGACCUCCGCCCCGGCCGUCACCUGAACGCAGGUUGUCACAGUCCUUCAGCUGCAUGAGCCCAGAGACGACGGGAGCGUGACAAUGUUUUCUGUACCAAGUUCAUGCUCCGGCAUUUCUAAUGUACCAAACCCAGGUGGCCAAAGGCGGGGGAAUCCCAGCUAGGUUCACGGUGGGGAGGGAGGUUUGGAUCUAUUUGAGGAGGGGCAGAUGCAAGCCUCUGAUGGGAAUACAAGCCUGCCAUCAGUUUCAAUGUGUGGCAACCUUGCUUCCUUGACCACUUCUUUCAGCAUGACCCGAGCAUGUGCCCUGCUGCUCUGUGGGGAUAGGUACCAGUAGACCAAGGAAGAGCCCAUCUGAGCUUCACAGAGUGGGGGGAGGAGAGAGCUGUUUUGUGUAGAGGUUACCUACAGGAUUUGGGCUACUGGGACCUCUCCCCAUCUGGAUCUGCUGGCCCAGGCAGGACUUUCUUUGCUGCUGGAAGUGGCUAGAUUGGGAUGCUGCCGACUGCGGUUUGUGCCUGGAGUGAUCUCCCACAAACCUCUGGCACGCCAGCCUGAUCCAGGAUCUCCGAGGGGCGGGGCCUUGGAAUCCCUCCUCUCCCAGCAGAGAGAGCGAGGCAUGGAGAGUCCCGGUGCAGCUGGGCAGCCCUUCGCGGCUGGCUUGGGCGCUGAUGACGUGUGCGUAUCCUUCGCCCUUUCCUCGCCAGCACAUGGGCGUGCAGUGUGGGGAGGGGAGCAGACACGCAGAACUGGGAGCUACCGUGGCAGAGUUGCUGUGAGAUACAGCGGGGAGAACAACCUGAGAAUGCCCCAUCCUGACAAAGGGACUGAAUUCACUAAGGGGCAGAAUCUGCUGCCUCUAGGGGUGGGGGCCAUCUAUCCCAGUCUAUGCCACCAAUGCGGGCUGGUCUCAUGCACUUGUGGGAUCCUAACCAUGUCAUGAGGGUGAAUGGGCAUGUUUUAAAGUGGACUGUCUUGGCAAUAUUUUAAAAAGGGCUGGGAGUGAUUUAUAAGGACUUGCUGUUUUGUUACAAAUAAAGAUCUCUUUGCCCCACGGC